AUUAUAUAUUUUUAUAUUAUAUAUUUUUUCCUACCGAGCCCCGGAAGGGACAUGUCCGUAUGGCGAAGCGACAAUGGAGGACACUCACCCGGACGAGAAUUUUAUUGAGUUUUAUUUUGAAAUCGGCCUGAAAUACACAGACAUUCAAGCAGUGCGAGCCCUUUAAGGUUUGGGCAAUUUCCGCCCGAAAUUUCUACUGAGAUUUACAGAAAGUAAAUUGAAUGCUGUUCUUGAACUGUUUGGAGUACAUGCAUGGUUGGGGUCUCAUUUGAAAGCUGACAACCUGAAUUUUCACCCAGUGCAGUCAGAAUUACUCUAGGUGCUACUGGCACAGAGUAUUUCAUGUUGGCACACACUGAAUUAGGAUGAAUUUUUUUCUCGCCUACAUUUUUUCCCUAAUAAAACACCUGAAAAUCAGUGUGGCAGCACUGUAAGAGCUUGAAAACACAAUAUUGCAAAAGCCUGGGGUCUUACAUAGUUCAGGUCAAAAUUUCAGAGCAAUACUACAAGAAAUGAGUGUUUCACACAUGUAUUUGUACUGAUAUGCUCCGCCCCUGUCAAUGUUGGAUGCAAUCUUUAUACACUGUGCACACUCUUUACAGAAUGAUAUAAAUUUAUUUUCACUUCAUUUUCACAUUAUUUUCAUUCCAAAAACUCAUAAAGAACUCAAAAAAUCACUUCAGAUAGGCUUCAGUGUCGAUCACACACACAGAUUGAGAGGAAUACAGAGAAACAGCAGGUGGAGCCCGGAGCUCACGAAUGAAAUAUCAUAUAAAGCCGCUGGCAGAGGCGGGAUUUAUAUUCAAGCCAUUCAGCAAGCUCAUUGGCUACCAGGCCUGUCAAUCUAACGGUUCCUCCGGCGUGAUUUGCUGAGAAACAAGUCAAUCAAGUGAUGUAAUCGAUAUCUGUCAGACGCGGCCAUGGUUGGCUAAAUCGCCGAAGUAGGCGGAAACGAGUCACCUGAUUGGUUGAAGUCCGGUUUGAAGCGGUCGAGAAGCGUUCAGUAUCCAUUUUGAAUGGAACAAAGAACAAAGAAAAUAGGACCGUGUAUGAUAAAGUUAUAAUAGAAAGAUGCAGUGAAUAUGAAACGCACAGCGCCACCACGCGCCGCGUGCACGCGCACGGAGCCGAUCGUUUUCUGGAUUUUUUACCUAUUUCGAGACAUGUUUUGGCCAAAGUAUUAUACUGGAUUGUUUCCUCUGGAUGGCUAAGCUUGGGUUCUGGCCAGUUUUUGUGGAUUAUCUUCUUUUAUGACCAGAAACGAGCGUCCAAACUGCGUCGACAGGUGAGCUGUGCACGUUUACAUGACUUGUUGUUUGUUGGAUAAAUGUGUUUAUAUUACCCGCUGUGGUAAUCACAUCUGAAAGUGGUUUAUACCGGCGGAUUCAUGAGAAUCUCAGCUUUCUAUGUGUGUAUAGUGUUUGUAUAAUCGUGUUUGCAGUGUCCUUCUAUUUCAAAAAAGCGUAUACCGAUAAAAAAACGGCCCGCCCGCGGGCCGCCGUACUUUAACGGGCUAAGAGUCUGCCAUGCAGACCAGCGAUCCUGAUAAUGUUGUCGGCCUUGGAUGAUGAGGUCCAGUUACCAGGAGCACUAGUCUGCAGCUUACUGGUUCCGUCCUGCAGCUCCUCCACGCUGUCCUCCUCUCUUCAGACCAAAUCAAGAAAAGGGAACCAGGAAGCUGCUGUGGAUCCUCUGCAGUAUCUGGAGAGGUCAGAGGAACGGUUCUUGGAACAGAUCGGAAGACACCAAGACGUGACCUCUGCCAUUCUCCAGAACAUCCAGAAGAUGAAUGAAAACCUUGGUUGCACUGAUGGGACGCAUGGUGUCGGUGCUGGAGCAACUGUCCCAGAAUUAAACUGCAUUGUUGACUAUUGGCUUUUCUAGAAAAUAAAUCUUUUUUAGUACUUCACCUGUUUUGUAUUUUACCCAUGCACUUUGGGUGAAUAAACAGAAAUUUGUGAUGAGAGAUGCAAA